UACGGAGGGGGCGAGCGUUAUUCGGAAUUAUUGGGCGUAAAGGGCGCGUAGGCGGCCCGGUAAGUCAAAGGUGAAAUCCCUCGGCUCAACUGAGGAACUGCCUUUGAAACUGUCGGGCUUGAGGCCGGGAGGGGGUAGCGGAAUUCCCAGUGUAGCGGUGAAAUGCGUAGAUACUGGGAGGAACACCAGUGGCGAAGGCGGCUACCUGGACCGGUUCUGACGCUGAUGCGCGAAAGCGUGGGUAGCAACAGG
rnacentral:rRNA from 1 species